UAAUUGUUGGCCGGUAUGAAUGGCGUCACGAAGGCCCCACUGUCUUAAGAGGACUCUCCAUGAAAUUGAAUUCGUAGUGAAGAUGCUACGUCCAUAUUGUAAGACGAAAAGACCCCAUUGAGCUUUACUAAAGACUUGCAUGGCUCAAAAUAAUUUAAUUUAAAUAAAAAGUUUAGAUAAUGUGGGAUCCGUUUCCGGUUAAUAAAACACCACUCUUUUAUUUUAAGAGAGCUAACAUCGCAGGGAUAAUGUAAGUUGGAUAGUUUGGUUGGGGCGACCACCUUUUAAAAGGUAACGAAGGUGAGCUUAAGGUCCGUAGUUAAUAGCCGGUGGCCUGACUGCAAGGGGGACGUCUCGAGCAGACACGUCCUUAGGGAUGUGGGCUAUAGUGACCCGUCAUCUUAGUGUGGAAUAGUUGACGAUC
rnacentral:rRNA from 1 species